GAUGAACGCUAGCGGCAGGCUUAAUACAUGCAAGUCGAGGGGCAGCAGGACUGUAGCAAUACAGUUGCUGGCGACCGGCAAACGGGUGCGGAACACGUACGCAACCUACCCAAAACUGGGGGAUAGCCCGGGGAAACCCGGAUUAAUACCUCGUAACCUUUUUAAGUGGCAUCACUUGAUAAGUAUAGCUCCGGCGGUUUUGGAUGGGCGUGCGCCUGAUUAGGUAGUUGGUGCGGGUAACGGCCCACCAAGCCUGCGAUCAGUAACUGGUGUGAGAGCACGACCAGUCACACGGGCACUGAGACACGGGCCCGACUCCUACGGGAGGCAGCAGUAAGGAAUAUUGGUCAAUGGACGCAAGUCUGAACCAGCCAUGCCGCGUGAAGGAUGAGGGUCCUCUGGAUUGUAAACUUCUUUUAUGGGGGACGAAACCCGGAUAUUCUUAUCCGAUUGACGGUACCUCAGGAAUAAGCACCGGCUAACUCCGUG
rnacentral:rRNA from 1 species